CCUACGGGAGGCUGCAGUGAGGAAUAUUGGUCAAUAGACGAGAGUCUGAACCAGCCAAGUAGCGUGAAGGAUGACUGCCCUAUGGGUUGUAAACUUCUUUUAUAUGGGAAUAAAACAGGGUAUGCAUACCCUCUUGUAUGUACCAUAUGAAUAAGGAUCGGCUAACUCCGUGCCAGCAGCCGCGGUAAUACGGAGGAUCCGAGCGUUAUCCGGAUUUAUUGGGUUUAAAGGGAGCGUAGGUGGAUUGUUAAGUCAGUUGUGAAAGUUUGCGGCUCAACCGUAAAAUUGCAGUUGAAACUGGCAGUCGUGAGUACAGUAGAGGUGGGCGGAAUUCGUGGUGUAGCGGUGAAAUGCUUAGAUAUCACGAAGAACUCCGAUUGCGAAGGCAGCUCACUGGACUGCAACUGACACUGAUGCUCGAAAGUGUGGGUAUCAAACAGGAUUAGAUACCCGAGUAGUC
rnacentral:rRNA from 1 species